AAGCGUUUAUGACCAGACUUGGGCUUGGUUAAUCAUCUGGGGUUCUCCCCAGUGCACUUUUCCAGUCCAGGCCAGCAUCAGUUUUCCCCGGGGGAUAAAAGCUUUAGGAAUGUGGCUCUUCGGAGUGUUAUAGCCUAUUGCAUAAUACCCUUAUGGGGACCGAGGUACGCGCAUUGCAAGGAUGCUGGCGUAAUGGUCAUCAACGA
rnacentral:rRNA from 1 species